GACGAACGCUGGCGGCGUGCUUAACACAUGCAAGUCGAGCGGUAAGGCCCUUUCGGGGGUACACGAGCGGCGAACGGGUUGAGUAACACGUGGGUGACCUGCCCUCAGCUCUGGGAUAAGCCUGGGAAACCGGGUCUAAUACUGGAUAUGACUCCAUGACGCAUGUUGUGGGGUGGAAAGCCUUGUGCGGCUGAGGAUGGGCCCGCGGCCUAUCAGCUUGUUGGUGGGGUGANGGCCUACCAAGGCGACGGACGGGUAGCCGGCCUGAGAGGGCGACCGGCCACACGUGGGACUGAGACACGGCCCAGACCUCCGUACGGGAGGCAGCAGGUGGGGAAUCUUGCGCAAGUGGGACGAAAGCCUGACGCAGCGACGCCGCGUGAGGGAUGA
rnacentral:rRNA from 1 species